AUGCCCAGACGGAGCCUGCUGGGAAGCCUGCAGCCUCCUCCCAACCUUCUGGGCACUCGGGCUCUGACAGCCACUGCUCCUCCGAGCCCUGACACUGCCACAUCGACACUGGCCCGGGUGCUUCUCCUUCACACCCAUCUGCUGAGCCCAAGCUUCCCCGGCUGGCUCUACCUCUCCCUGUUUGAAUGGGUUCCUGGCCAGAGAGGGCUCCCUGGAGUCUUCACUUCCAGCAGCUCGCCCCUUGCAGCCUUCCGGCAAAAGGAUGUUGGAUCAGCAAGGCGAUCCUUGGUUCACAAAAAGAAAUUCAGCCCAAUGCAGCCGCUACUGAACCACUCAGACAGCCUUCUGUGCACACUGUGCCUGCCGGCCUUGGCACUGUCCUUAUCUGAUGUCUCAGACUAUCUUUCCUCUUUUCUACACGCAGAUGUUCCCUUCUCACUUUUCUGGUUCUAAGGUUCAUGUGGCUGUAAACUGAGAGCCAGGCUGCCUGGCCCUGCGAUCUCAACUGACUCCCGACUGCUGACUAAUUAGGAAAUACAGGAGCCACCAUGAAGUACAUUCACAAACCAUCCUUGUCUAAGGAGCAAGAAAUAACACCUGUUCACAAGUCAGGGUAUACCCAAACAGUUUCCUUCUCUGAAUCAUAAACACAAAUAAUCACACUCACACACACACACACACACACACACGCACGCACACAAUUCUGAUCAGCAUCACUUGACUUCUCUUAUAACCUUCUGACUUGAUGUUUAUGAAUCUUAAAGAUAGCAUUACUCUUUGAUCCAGAAAUUCCCUCUCUAGAAUGGACAAGCAUGUCAAAAUAUAUGCGUUAGAGUUUUCACUAUGACCAUCAUCAUGAUAGUCUGAAACUAGAGAUAAUUUAGAUUCUCAACAACAAAGAAUGAGCUAAACAUCAUGAGAUAAGCAUGCAAUUUAAAACUAUCACAAUAUUAAAAAUGGUGAUGCAAAUAUAUGUGUAUAUAUAUAAAAUUUAUUAAUAGACAAACACGGGCAUCAAACACUGUGAAAAAGAAGACCAGAAACUAGUACAUACAAACUACAUGCAAUAAAUUGUGCAUCUCUAUCA
rnacentral:lncRNA from 1 species